GGUACUGCAGCCGGAGCGCAGCGGCGGCACCGCAGCCGCGCGGGCAGCCCGGGGGAACCGCUGCCGCUCGUAGGGAGACUUGAAAGGGAGAUGUGAAGUUUGCAGAGCACUCUCCAGCAACCGUAAACUGUGCAAACAGCGGCAGCGGUGCCCAGGGCUUCUCAUGUUGGUGCAUUUCAACGGGAUCGCCUUACUCUCUGUGCCAUAGGAACCGUUUCCCACCUGUCCCUGUCCCUCCAUGGGACAUCGAUCCUCAGUGCUGCAUCAGAGGAGGAACUGCAGGGAGUGCUGUGCAGAGCUGUGCCGACCUUCGUGGCAACGUGCACAGGAAUCCAUCACACUGCCCAUCGCUCGUAUGGGAAGGUGGAAUGUUCAUCCUCACCCCCUGCAGCCCAAGGGCUUCACUACUGCUGAGCACCGUGCGUAACAAAUACAUU